rnacentral:rRNA from 1 species
CCUACGGGAGGCAGCAGUAGGGAAUAUUGCUCAAUGGGGGAAACCCUGAAGCAGCAACGCCGCGUGGAGGAUGAAGGUUUUCGGAUUGUAAACUCCUUUUGUUAGAGAAGAUAAUGACGGUAUCUAACGAAUAAGCACCGGCUAACUCCGUGCCAGCAGCCGCGGUAAUACGGAGGGUGCAAGCGUUACUCGGAAUCACUGGGCGUAAAGAGCGCGUAGGCGGGAUAGCAAGUCAGAUGUGAAAUCCUAUGGCUUAACCAUAGAACUGCAUUUGAAACUGUUAGUCUAGAGUAGGGGAGAGGUAGGUGGAAUUCUUGGUGGAGGGGUAAAAUCUGUAGAGAUCAAGAGGAAUACUCAUUGCGAAGGCGACCUGCUAGAACAUAACUGACGCUGAGGCGCGAAAGCGUGGGGAGCAAACAGGAUUAGAUACCCGGGUAGUC